rnacentral:snRNA from 1 species
GUGCUUGCUUUGGCAGCACAUAUACUAAAAUUGGAAUGAUACAGAGAAGAUUUUAGCAUGGCCCCUGUGUAAGGAUGAUAUGCAAAUUCACGAAGUGUUCCAUAUUUUU